rfam:Salmo salar isolate Sally breed double haploid chromosome ssa22, whole genome shotgun sequence.
UGCAUUCACCGCCUGUAAGUCGCUCUGGAUAAGAGCGUCUGCUAAAUGACAAAAA